rnacentral:rRNA from 1 species
GUGGGGAAUUUUGGACAAUGGGCGCAAGCCUGAUCCAGCCAUGCCGCGUGCAGGAUGAAGGCCUUCGGGUUGUAAACUGCUUUUGUACGGAACGAAAAAGCUCUCUCUAAUACAGGGGGUGAAUGACGGUACCGUAAGAAUAAGCACCGGCUAACUACGUGCCAGCAGCCGCGGUAAUACGUAGGGUGCAAGCGUUAAUCGGAAUUACUGGGCGUAAAGCGUGCGCAGGCGGUUGUGUAAGACAGGCGUGAAAUCCCCGGGCUCAACCUGGGAGUUGGGCUUGUGACUGCACAGCUGGAGUGCGGCAGAGGGGGAUGGAAUUCCGCGUGUAGCAGUGAAAUGCGUAGAUAUGCGGAGGAACACCGAUGGCGAAGGCAAUCCCCUGGGCCUGCACUGACGCUCAUGCACGAAAGCGUGGGGAGCAAACAGGAUUAGAUACCCCAGUAGUCC